rnacentral:rRNA from 1 species
AAUAAGCGCACACGGUGGAUGCCUAGGCGGUCAGAGGCGAUGAAGGACGUGGUAGCCUGCGAAAAGUGUCGGGGAGCUGGCAACAAGCUUUGAUCCGGCAAUAUCCGAAUGGGGAAACCCACUGCUUCGGCAGUAUCUUGCAGUGAAUUCAUAGCUGCUUGAAGCGAACCCGGUGAACUGAAAUAUCUAAGUAACCGGAGGAAAAGAAAUCAACCGAGAUUCCCUGAGUAGUGACGAGCGAACGGGGAACAGCCCUUAAGCUGGAAUGGCUUUAGAAAAACAAUCUGGAAAGAUUGGCCAUAGAAGGUGAUAGCCCUGUAUUUAAAAGGGCCACUCCAGUGAAGACGAGUAGGGCGGGGCACGUGAAACCCUGUCUGAAUAUGGGGGGACCAUCCUCCAAGGCUAAAUACUCCUGAAAGACCGAUAGUGAACAAGUACUGUGAAGGAAAGGUGAAAAGCACUUCGAAUAGAAGGGUGAAAUAGAACCUGAAACCGUACGCCUACAAGCGGUCGGAGCACCUAUAUGGUGUGACGGCGUGCCUUUUGCAUAAUGAGCCUACGAGUUAAUUUUACUAGCGAGGUUAAGGACUUCAGGUCCGGAGCCGGAGCGAAAGCGAGUCUGAAUAGGGCGAUUGAGUCGCGUGUCCUAGACCCGAAGCGGAGUGAUCUACCCAUGGCCAGGUUGAAGCGCGUGUAAGAGCGCGUGGAGGACCGAACCCACUUCAGUUGAAAAUGGAGGGGAUGAGCUGUGGGUAGGGGUGAAAGGCCAAUCAAACUCCGUGAUAGCUGGUUCUCCCCGAAAUGCAUUUAGGUGCAGCGUUGCGUGGUU